rnacentral:snRNA from 1 species
AUAGUUACCUGGCAGUGGAGAUACCAUGAUUAUGGAGAUCGUUCUCCCAUGUGAGGUUCAUCUACUGCUCUCCAAGUGUGCUAACCCCUGGGAUUCCCCAAAUGUGGGAAAUUUGACUGCAUAAUUCACGGUAGUCAACUGUGGGCCGCAGAC